UACGGAGGGUGCAAGCAUUGAUCGGAAUUACUGGGCGUAAAGCGCACGUAGGCGGAUUGCUAAGUCAGGGGUGAAAUCCUGGAGCUCAACUCCAGAACUGCCUUUGAUACUGGCGACCUUGAGUCCGGGAGAGGUGAGUGGAACUGCGAGUGUAGAGGUGAAAUUCGUAGAUAUUCGCAAGAACACCAGUGGCGAAGGCGGCUCACUGGCCCGGUACUGACGCUGAGGUGCGAAAGCGUGGGGAGCAAACAGG
rnacentral:rRNA from 1 species